rnacentral:rRNA from 1 species
ACCUGCCCUAUGAAUAAUUUAUUUUAAAUGGCCGCGGUAUUUUGACCGUGCAAAGGUAGCAUAAUAAUUAGUUUCUUAAUUGGGAACUGGAAUGAAUGGUCGAACGAGAAAAAGACUGUCUCAAUUUAAUUUAAAUUAGAAUUUUAUUUUUAAGUAAAAAAGCUUAAAUAUUCUUAAAAGACGAGAAGACCCUAUAGAGUUUUAUAUAAUUUAUUAUAAUUGAAAAUUAAAGUAUCUUAGAUUUAGUUAUAAUAGUUUAUAUUUGGUUGGGGCGAUUAAAAAAUUUAAUUAACUUUUUUUAGUUUUAAACCAUUGAUUUAUGAAUAAAUGAUCCAUAUUUUAUGAUUAAAAGAUUAAAUUA